rnacentral:rRNA from 1 species
GAUGAACGCUGGCGGCGUGCCUAAUACAUGCAAGUCGAGCGAACGGACGAGAAGCUUGCUUCUCUGAUGUUAGCGGCGGACGGGUGAGUAACACGUGGAUAACCUACCUAUAAGACUGGGAUAACUUCGGGAAACCGGAGCUAAUACCGGAUAAUAUUUUGAACCGCAUGGUUCAAAAGUGAAAGACGGUCUUGCUGUCACUUAUAGAUGGAUCCGCGCUGCAUUAGCUAGUUGGUAAGGUAACGGCUUACCAAGGCAACGAUGCAUAGCCGACCUGAGAGGGUGAUCGGCCACCCUGGAACUGAGACACGGUCCAGACUCCUACGGGAGGCAGCAGUAGGGAAUCUUCCGCAGUGGGCGAAAGCCUGACGGAGCAACGCCGCGUGAGUGAUGAAGGUCUUCGGAUCGUAAAACUCUGUUAUUAGGGAAGAACAUAUGUGUAAGUAACUGUGCACAUCUUGACGGUACCUAAUCAGAAAGCCACGGCUAACUACGUG